rnacentral:misc_RNA from 1 species
GAUGAAGAACGUAGCGAAAUGCGAUAAGUAAUGUGAAUUGCAGAAUUCAGUGAAUCAUCGAAUCUUUGAACGCACAUUGCGCCCGUCAGUAUUCUGGCGGGCAUGCCUGUUCGAGCGUCAUUACGCCCCUCAAGUCCCCUGUGGACUUGGUGUUGGGGAUCGGCGAGGCUGGUUUUCCAGCACAGCCGUCCCUUAAAUUAAUUGGCGGUCUCGCCGUGGCCCUCCUCUGCGCAGUAGUAAAACACUCGCAACAGGAGCCCGGCGCGGUCCACUGCCGUAAAACCCCCCAACUUUUUAUAGUUGACCUCGAAUCAGGUAGGACUACCCGCUGAACUUAAGCAUAUCAAUAAGCGGAGG